GACGAACGCUGGCGGCGUGCCUAAUACAUGCAAGUCGAACGCACAGUUUAUACCGUAGCUUGCUACACCAUACACUGUGAGUUGCGAACGGGUGAGUAACGCGUAGGUAACCUGCCUGGUAGCGGGGGAUAACUAUUGGGAACGAUAGCUAAUACCGCAUAAUAUUGAUUAUUGCAUGAUAAUUGAUUGAAAGAUGCUAUUGCAUCACUACCAGAUGGACCUGCGUUGUAUUAGCUAGUAGGUGAGGUAACGGCUCACCUAGGCGACGAUACAUAGCCGACCUGGGAGGGUGAUCGGCCACACUGGGACUGGGACACGGCCCAGACUCCCUCGGGAGGCAGCAGUAGGGGAACAUCGGCAAUGGACGGAAGGCUGACCGAGCAACGGCGCGUGAGUGAAGGAGGUUUUCGGGUCGGUAAGCUCUGUUGUGAGGGAAGAACGGGUGUGAGGGUGGAAAGUUCACACUGUGACGGUAUCUUACCAGAAAGGGACGGCUAACUACGUG
rnacentral:rRNA from 1 species